rnacentral:lncRNA from 1 species
CAGCGGCUUGUUCAGACCAGGAGGUACGGGGUAAAGAGAGAUUUGCUUUAAUAACGAGCAGGUGCUUAGAAUUAAUGCAGGGAAGGAAAAGCCUGUGAAGGGACCUGAGCGAGCCCGAAUCCAGGUCAAGCCUGAGGAGACGUCCAGCCAUGUACCACACAGGUUGUUGUUCUCAUGAAUCUGGUCACAGCAGCAAGAAAAACUACUGUCCCUCCUGUGUCUUCUCAGCCACCAGGGCAGCUACAGCCACCCUGCUAAGAGUGUUUCUUCAGUGCAUCAAAGGCUGCAGGAGCAAGCUCCCUGCUCACUCAGAAUGAACAGUCUUCAUCCUCUUGCCCCUUCCCUCUCCCUGCCUCACCUCUCCCUUGAGUUCACUCAGCUCCAGCCAAAUGGCCUCCUCCUUCCACAGGGCCAAGCUCACCUUCCCUCCCAGCAUUCCUCUGCUCAGAGCACCCCCUCCCAUGGCUCCCCAGUUCCCCUCUCCAGGCCCUGACUGGGUUGUCACCUUCUCAUCAAGGUCUUCCCCAGAUACCCUAUUUAAAGGCACAGACUCCCCCGCCCCGCACACUCCCGCCCUCGGUCCCUGCAUUGCUAUCCUCCAGUGCUCUCAUUGCCUCUAACUUACUGCAUAUUUUACUCAUUUGUCUUGUUUAUCGCCUGUCUCUCCCCCAUAAAGUAAAGCUGUGGGAGAGUGGGGAGUGUGUCAGUUUUGUUCACUGCUGCAUCCUUAGCCUCGUGAAGAAUGAUUGACAAAUUAAACACUCAAAAGUAUUUUCUAUGCUUCUUUACUUUGAAUUAACCAUUUUCUCAUGGAGAACGUAAUGACGUUAUUGUUGUUUUACCAAGGGCCAGAAGAUUGCCAAAGGCUCACAUUCAUGCUUG